UCUGGCCUGCUCACUGAUCAUUGGGUUAAGAGCUGCGGUAUUCUGACCGUACAAAGGUAGCAUAAUCAUUAGUCUUUUAAUUGAAAACUUGUAUGAAUGGUCGGACAAGAGAAAGGCUGUCUCUUAGGUUUAAAUUGAAUUUAACUUUUGAGUGAAAAGGCUCAAAUAACUUGGGGGGACGAUAAGACCCUAUAAAGCUUUAUGCGAAAAUUAGAUUUAAGUGAAAUAAAAAUAAGAUUUAUCUCUGAGUUUAGCAUUUAGUUGGGGCGACUAAAAUAUAUUUAUAAUAACUAAUUUAUAAUGAUUACAGGUUUAGAUGAUUAUUAGUUAAUUGAUCCUUAGUAAAGAUUAAGAGAUUAAGUUACUUUAGGGAUAACAGCGUAAUAUCUCCUGAGAGCCCAAAUCGAAGGAGAAGAUUGCGACCUCGAUGUUGAAUUAAAAUACCUUCGCGGUGUAGCAGUUGCGUAUAGGGGGUCUGUUCGACCUUUAAAUUUUUACAUGAUUUGAGUUCAAA
rnacentral:rRNA from 1 species